GUGCCGUCGUGAACCAGAGGAGGUUGCCGAGAACAUUCCAGCUGAACCGGCCUGUCAGGCAGGCGGGCUCCCGCUCUCAACGGCCGCCGGCGAGGGCGGCUGUUUACCACAGGCCCGCUCGGAGGACCUGGCUGCUCCUUGCCGUAGAUCUGGAGGCGGCUGUUGAAGCAGUCGCCAGAUACAAUAAGGCUGCGUGAAGAGCAGAGGUGGACUUCUUGUUUCUUUAGGGAUAGGAACGAAGAGAAAACAAGCCUUAAAUUAUGAAGGGAAAUCUUCCUUGCAAGACAGUUCAACUGCUCGUUGGACUUAGCAGCACUCAAGCCAUUCUAAACCAGGGCAAGCCAUUCUUUUUGGUGGAAAGCAUACAGCGAUUACUCUUUCAGGCAAAGGAAAAAAUGUCCACUUGACUUUGGGAUAAAUAAUGUGUUAUGUUUAUUUUGAGACUGCUGCAGCAGCUAAUUUCAUUUUGGGGCAACAAAAAGUCCAGUUUUCUUUUGUAUUUUGAUGGAGUCUCGCUUAAUGUCAUUGUAACCUGUAUUGAGGGGUUGGAAAACAUGUGUUUUGUUAAGGCAGGCAUGUUCAACUGAUGUGAAAAUCUUUACUGAAAUUGAUAUCAUGAAUAGGGGUUUGCUGUAUGAGACUUGGGUGGCUGAAGCUUCAUGCAUGGUGAAUAUGCAAACGUGGUGAAUAAUCAUGUGCUAAAAAAUAAAUUAGUUUUCCUCUGA